rnacentral:tRNA from 1 species
GGGGGUGUAGCUUGGUUGGUAGAGUUCUUGCUUAGCAUGCUUAAAGCCCUAGGUUCAAUUCCUAGCGCUGAAU